rnacentral:rRNA from 1 species
CCUACGGGGGGCAGCAGUGGGGAAUAUUGCGCAAUGGGCGAAAGCCUGACGCAGCGACGCCGCGUGAGGGAUGAAGGUCUUCGGAGCGUAAACCUCUGUCAGCAGGGAAGAACGGUCACGGUGCUAAGCAGCAGUGAAUGGACGGUACCUGCAAAGGAAGCACCGGCUACCUCCGUGCCAGCAGCCGCGGUACGACGGAGGGUGCGAGCGUUAAUCGGAAUUACUGGGCGUAAAGCGCUCGUAGGCGGUAUGUCACGGCAAGGGUGAAAUCCCCGCGCUCAACGUGGGAACUGCCUUUGAAACUGGCAAACUGGCGUGUGUGAGAGGAUAGUGGAAUUCCCGGUGU